CCAGUAGUGAAAGCCCUGGCGGACUCUUUCUGAGCGCUUUUGUAGCGGCUGGCUGGCUGAUUCACACUCAGCCCGGCUCCUAUCUACAAUGCAAGGUCACUAAAGAAAGCAGGGAAGGGAACAUAACCGGCUACUUCUUGGUUACUGAUUUGUAAUGGACAUUGUGUUAGAUAAUGUCAGCUUCAUCUUGGCAGUUCCAGGGCAAUGGAGGUUAAGUGACUUGCCCAGGGUCACACAGCUAGGCAAUGGGGGUUAAGUGAC